rnacentral:RNase_P_RNA from 1 species
UACAAGAGUUGGGCUAUCGCCGUGUUUGUAAAAUAGCAAGGAGGAAAGUCCGGACAGCAAAGAGCAGCGCACCACCUAACGGGUGGGGGACGUGAAAACGUUUAUAGAGAGUGCCACAGAAAAUAACCGCCUACAUUUUAUUGGAGGUAAGGGUGAAAAUGUAGAGUAAGAGACUACGCAGCCGGCUGGUAACAGAAGGAUGGGGUAAACCUUGCGCGCUGAAAUGCCAAAUAGGCAAUCUCUCCGAAAGGAUAAGAACGGCUCGUUCGAUGAUUGUGGGUUGGCAGAUUGAACCGCUCAGCAAUGGUCGGUCUAGAUAAAUGAUAGCCACCCGAAGACCAUUUCGGGAUACAGAAUCCGGCUUAUAGACUUGUGUAGUUG